CGUACCCAAAGAGUCAACUCGUACCCAAAAUUGAAGUCAUAAAAUAAAAUUAAUAAUGAAAAUAUUUCACUUUUUGAGAUAUUUUCAUAAAGAUAUCUGAUUUAUUAUUCCAAUUUAGUUACACUACUUAUAUUUUAUAAAAUAAUGACAAUUAGCCCUUUCACAGUAACUGCAGUACUACUCUUUUGCAGGGCAAAAUAAUAACGUUUGGCGAAGUUUUUGUUGAGAGAUAAUUAAAUGACGUAUAUUUCACAAUUACUUUUACGUCAUAUUUCACCAAAAUUUAUCAUUUUGCCCUGCAAAAGAGCAGUACUGCAGUUACUGUGAAACGGUCCAUUAAAUUAAAUUUGUUUGAAAAAUUCAACUUGGCAUAUAUAGAUAUAUACAUGUAUGUAGAUCAAGCAUGAUUUAUGCAAUUACCAUCAGCACAGACGAAUUAUGUGUAUACUAUUAAAUAAUCUAUAGUACAUGUCUUUGUAUAUAAUAUACACUGUAUAUGUAAGUAACAGUUUUGGGUACGAGUUGACUCCUUGGGUACGACUCGGUUUGGGUACGAGUCGGUUUGGGUACGAGUUGACUGUAAAUCCUUUAUAGCCCCCAAUCUCUCACCAGAGGGCGCGCUCCGCUUACACGGAGCGUAAUACGCCCUCUGGUGAGAGAUUGUAUAGCCCCAUCAGAUUUUGAGGGAUACCAACAGUGGCGGAGUGGUUUCAAGAAAAAGUUAACACUCAGGCCCGGGGCUGUGCCAACCAUCCAUUCCCCCUCAUUGUCAAAGCCUGAACACCGCUGACGUGCUAUACAAAACCUCAAAAUAUAUAGGUUGUUUGAUGGCACUACUGGACAUACUGAACAUGCUGAAACUGUGGUUGAAAGGUUGUCACAAGCAGGUGCUUCCGCAAUUUCCUUAAGCUCAUCAGAAAAAGAUGAAGUCAGAGAAGAUGAUUUAUUGAAUGCUGAGGCAACUGUUACAGGUGACAUAGCUCAUUUACAGGUUCUGAAUAACAUACCACAUCAAGUUAUGUGUUCACUUGAGUCAGAUAAAGCACAGGAUACAGCUACUUGUACAGAUGAAAUCCUUCCUGAUAGUGACCCACCCAAGAAACAGUCAAGGGGAACACAGUUGGGAUUAAAAAGAGAGAGCUACAGAAGUAUAGGUAGACAUGUUUGAGAAGUGUGAAACUUGUGAUGUUGGCAUUCAGUGUGGGGAGACGGAACAUACUGAAAUGGAG